UUCAGACACAGUGUGGUGGAUUUAAUAAUUUUGAAAGUGCAAUUGCAGAUAUUAGGGUUUUUGUUUUCAAAAUUAAAUUAAGGGUGCUGAGAAUCAAAGUUCUAACGUGGUUUGGUAGCGAAAUCUGGAAGAUUGGGAAGAACAUCAGUGACGUCCACUUGAAAUUAGAGGCAUUGAUCUUUGGCAGUCAGAAAAAAUUUCAGAGGACACAGCUUGAAGAAUCUGAUGUGGAAGGUUGUUACUAGUACAUACCCCCAAGCUUGGGAAAGAGAAAUGUUAAAUAUAAAGGAUGUCAAUGUGGAGGCUUACAAAUACCUAAUCGCUAUUCGCCCAAGGUAUUGGUCUAGAUCUAGAUUUACAGGUCGAGCAGUAUCUGCACUAGUAAAUAACAUGAGUGAAGCUUUUAAUAGUGUUAUUGUUGAUGCUAGAGGAAAACCCAUUAUAACCAUGCCAGAGGAAAUUAGAGUUUACCUCAUGAAAAAAAUGGGCAACCAACAAAAUCAAGAUGUGUAAUAUGGACUUUCACAUCUGCCCCAAGAUUAGAAAGAGACUUACAAAAGAAUCAAAUUUAUCAAAAAAUUGGAUCCCAAGGUAAGCAUUUC